GACUGCCAAGAACAGCAGUGAGUGCCGACUGGUGUUGGCCUAAACCUACAAGAGAAGCUGCAUGUUUGUGAAUGACAGACCACAAGAGGCAGAGCUGCCUAAGCUCUUUGGAGACCAGAACAUCAUGAAUAAACUUCAGAAUGGCUUACAGGCUGUGGUCCUGCUAGUCUAACAAUGGCUGUCCUUUAAUGGGAAGUCCAAGAAUCCAGUAGUUGUACAGUCUACAAGGUUGGAUGUCUCAGCUGUUCUUCAGUAUAUGCCAGAGCCCUGAAGAAGCAGGCUCUAACCUGUGAAGGAUGAAGUUGCCAGCAAGAGCAAGCAGGGAAAACAGCAAGUGCUUCCUCCUUCCAUGUUCUUCUGUACAGCCUGCCAGGAAAGGUUGUGGCCAGACUUAAAGUGGAUCUCUCCACUUCAAAAGCUCUGGAUUUAGGGUGAAUCUUCUAAUUUCAAAUCAUUCAAUCAAGAAAAAUCCCUCAUGGGUGUACGCAGCUACUCAGGGUGAAGUUGACAAUCAAGAACAGUCAUUGUAAGUUCUGUGUGGAAUUCUGCUUCACCUCCACAGGUUAAGAAGGAACUUGGCAGAAUCAACAGCAUUCCAGAAUUAUAUAGAAAUAUGAAAGAAUGUGAACAGUUGCCUGCAGUUCAGCUAUCAUGUGACCAAGACAUGAAGAGUGAUUGACAGUGAAUGGACUGGAGAUGAUAUGGGAUUAUUGACAGUCUUCUGUGCCAUUUUAAAGGGGCAGGACUUAGUUUGGAACGUAUACAAGGAUAUUGGCUGGUUUGGAGUCUGGAAAUGGCUGUUUAGAUUCCUGUUUCAAAAAGGUAUUUUCAAGCUUGCAAAGACAGACAGGAAGAAGAAACAAGUUACUUGAUCUUUAUCUUGUGAGGUAACUAUAACAGGAUUUUUACUGGCACUUUAUCUCUGGGACUGGAAAAAUAUUCCUGAAUUAAGGGAAAUCAACACAUUGUCACAGUGGAAUGUAGUUGGAAACUUCUAUCCAACCCACUUUUGGAAUCUGGUAACAGGGUUGGUUCUGAUUAGCUUUGUAUAACCGGUUGAAUAGACUUUGUACCAACCAGAAUCAGACCCUUUGAAGUAUCUUCUUUGGGUUGCUGUGAAGAUUAAAUAAGACAAUACAUGUAAAGCCCUUGUCAAAUAAGGUCUCAUCAAAUAUUAAUCAGAUGUCCAAUUUUUGUAGCAAAAAAUUCAGUAAAUACUUAUUGAAAGUUGUACAUAUAUAAAUGUAUAUGCAUGUAUUUAUGUAUGCAUAUAGAUAUAAUGUAUGCUUGCUUUUCUUUUUUUUUUUUGUAUGCUUGCUUUUUGAGAGAGAAUAAGGAUCUAGGUUGACCUAGAGCUCAUAUUUAACCCAGGCUGGCCUCCACUGCUUCACAAUUCUGCCUCAGCCUCUAGAGGGCUGGACUUACAAAUUUGAAAUACCAUGCUCAGCUAUUGUUUUUUAAUGUAUUAUUGUACAUAUGCCCAGGAAGUAAACCAACUUUGUAUUGAA